AGGAGAAGGAACUAAGAAGCUAACUGAAAGCUCUCAGUUCUUAGAUGGAAUAUGUUGAAAGUUUGAUUUCAAAGUAAAUUGUCAUGGGAAGAUGUUCCUCUAGGUGACUACUGAUACCUCAGUGUUGUCCCCAGAUGAAAUAUGAAAAUCUGCACAUCCUGCAGUGUGAAGUAUUGUUAGUAUAGCAUCUCAGCUUGAAGCAGAAUCAUACAAAAGUGGCCAAAGAGGAAGAUGAAAAAGGAAAUAGCUUCAGAAGAAGCUUCUGGUGAAAGACAAGAUCAAAGUUUUCAGAUCUCAGAUAUAGGAUGAAUGACUACCAGUUUGAAUUAAGCUUGCAUUUAUAUUGUCAAUAUUAGCUGGAGCCAAU